rnacentral:rRNA from 1 species
UAAUUUGACGUUGCGGCAUGCCUUACACAUGCAGUCGAACGGCAGCAUGAUCUAGCUUGCUAGAUUGAUGGCGAGUGGCGAACGGGUGAGUAAUACAUCGGAACGUGCCCUGUAGUGGGGGAUAACUAGUCGAAAGAUUAGCUAAUACCGCAUACGACCUGAGGGUGAAAGUGGGGGACCGCAAGGCCUCAUGCUAUAGGAGCGGCCGAUGUCUGAUUAGCUAGUUGGUGGGGUAAAGGCCCACCAAGGCGACGAUCAGUAGCUGGUCUGAGAGGACGAUCAGCCACACUGGGACUGAGACACGGCCCAGACUCCUACGGGAGGCAGCAGUGGGGAAUUUUGGACAAUGGGCGAAAGCCUGAUCCAGCAAUGCCGCGUGUGUGAAGAAGGCCUUCGGGUUGUAAAGCACUUUUGUCCGGAAAGAAAUGGCUCUGGUUAAUACCUGGGGUCGAUGACGGUACCGGAAGAAUAAGGACCGGCUAACUACGUGCCAGCAGCCGCGGUAAUACGUAGGGUCCAAGCGUUAAUCGGAAUUACUGGGCGUAAAGCGUGCGCAGGCGGUUGUGCAAGACCGAUGUGAAAUCCCCGAGCUUAACUUGGGAAUUGCAUUGGUGACUGCACGGCUAGAGUGUGUCAGAGGGGGGUAGAAUUCCACGUGUAGCAGUGAAAUGCGUAGAGAUGUGGAGGAAUACCGAUGGCGAAGGCAGCCCCCCUGGGAUAACACUGACGCUCAUGCACGAAGGCGUGGAGAGCAAACAGGAUUAGAUACCCUGGUAGUCCACGCCCUAAACGAUGUCAACUAGUUGUUGGGGAUUCAUUUCCUUAGUAACGUAGCUAACGCGUGAAGUUGACCGCCUGGG